UUGAGAAACUGCCCUCUGGGUAGACCUCACACCCUUGAAUAUUAUACUUUGUUGCUUUGGCGGGCCACUGGGCUCAUGCCCGGUGCCGGCUUAAGCUGGUCAGCGCCCGCCAGAGACCCAAAACUCUGAAAUUAUAGUGUGUCAGAUUAUCAUUUAAAUUAUUUA
rnacentral:misc_RNA from 1 species